ensembl:lncRNA
CCGCGAAGGGUCACGGGCCUCUGCCCGUGGCCCAUAGUAGCCAGAGUUAUUAUCUCUCACACGUGUUCUACACGAUUCCUAGACUUUCGUUCCAUAGCCAGUUACCAUGCCGAAACAUGCAGACUUUAACAAUAAACUGAGUUAAAAGCAAUCCCGGAUUUUGAACCUUUCCUUGAAGAAAUACGUAAUAAUUUGGUGAUCCUGACGUUCUUGGAAAAGUUCUACCGAGACUCUAACCACGCGGUCGUCGAGAUGCAAUACAAGCUGGAUGCAGGCGCCAUUGAAAGGAACUUGAACAACGCUCGAGUCCUGUUCUCGACAGAUGGAAAACGGACCCAUCCCCCUCUCCACUAGGACCUGAGCUCAUCUCCACCAGCAGCAACCAGAACAAAUAACCAUAAAGACUGGAACAGUAAACCUGAUGUCAAAUGACAGCAUGAUUGACUCUGAAACUCUUGAGAAAACGGUACGAAGCCUCAGCUCCUCCACGUGCACACUAGAUACUCUGCCCACCAUCUUUUUUUUAAAUCUGUCCUUCACCUACUAACGCCAGAUCUGCUUAAAAUCAUAAAUUCAUCUUUGGAGACAGGCAUUUUCCCCAAAUCCCUAAACACUGCUCUUAUAAAACCACUACUUAAAAAGAACAACCUAGAUACAUCCAUAUUAAGCAAUUACAGGCCCAUAUCCAACCUACCGUUCAUUGGCCAAAUUUUUGAAAAAAUUGUUUUUUAAUCAACUAACUGUCAC